GACGAACGCUGGCGGCGUGCUUAACACAUGCCAGUCGAACGGAAAGGCCCUGCUUUUGUGGGGUGCUCGAGUGGCGAACGGGUGAGUAACACGUGAGUAACCUGCCCUUGACUUUGGGAUAACUUCAGGAAACUGGGGCUAAUACCGGAUAGGAGCUCCUGCUGCAUGGUGGGGGUUGGAAAGUUUCGGCGGUUGGGGAUGGACGCGCGGCUUAUCAGCUUGUUGGUGGGGUAGUGGCUUACCAAGGCCUUGACGGGUAGCCGGCCUGGGAGGGUGACCGGCCACAAUGGGACUGAGAUACGGCCCAGACUCCUACGGGAGGCAGCGGUGGGGAAUAUUGCACAAUGGGCGGAAGCCUGAUGCAGCAACGCCGCGUGCGGGAUGACGGCCUUCGGGUUGUAAACCGCUUUCGCCUGUGACGAAGCGUGAGUGACGGUAAUGGGUAAAGAAGCACCGGCUAACUACGUG
rnacentral:rRNA from 1 species